UACGUAGGGUCCAAGCGUUAUCCGGAAUCACUGGGCGUAAAGGGUGCGUAGGCGGCUUGGUAAGUUGGGUGUGAAAGCCCCGGGCUCAGCCCGGGAAGGGCACUCGAAACUGCCGAGCUGGAGUGCCGGAGGGGAGAGUGGAAUUCCUGGUGUAGCGGUGAAAUGCGUAGAUAUCAGGAGGAAUACCGGUGGCGAAAGCGACUCUCUGGACGGCAACUGACGCUGAGGCACGAAAGCGUGGGGAGCAAACAGG
rnacentral:rRNA from 1 species